UGGGGAAUUUUGGACAAUGGGGGAAACCCUGAUCCAGCCAUCCCGCGUGUGCGAUGAAGGCCUUCGGGUUGUAAAGCACUUUUGGCAGGAAAGAAACGUCAUGGGUUAAUACCCCGUGAAACUGACGGUACCUGCAGAAUAAGCACCGGCUAACUACGUGCCAGCCGCCGCGGUAAUACGUAGGGUGCAAGCGUUAAUCGGAAUUACUGGGCGUAAAGCGUGCGCAGGCGGUUCGGAAAGAAAGAUGUGAAAUCCCAGAGCUCAACUUUGGAACUGCAUUUUUAACUACCGGGCUAGGGUGUGUCAGAGGGGGGUGGAAUUCCGUGUGUAGCAGUGAAAUGCGUAGAUAUGCGGAGGAACACCGAUGGCGAAGGCAGCCUCCUGGGAUAACACUGACGCUCAUGCAAGAAAGCGUGGGGAGCAAACAGG
rnacentral:rRNA from 1 species